rnacentral:rRNA from 1 species
AGUGAACGCUGGCGGUAGGCCUAACACAUGCAAGUCGAACGGCAGCACAGUAAGAGCUUGCUCUUACGGGUGGCGAGUGGCGGACGGUGGAGUAAUACACCGGAAUCUACUUUUUCGUGGGUGAUAACGUAGGGAAACUUACGCUAAUACCGCAUACGACCUACGGGGGAAAGCAGGGGAUCUUCGGACCUUGCGCGAGUGAAUGAGCCGAUGUCGGCUUCGCUAGUUGGCGGGGUAAAGGGCCACCACGGCGACGAUCCGUAGCAGGUCUGAGGGGGUGAUUCGCCAGCCUGGCACUGAGACAGGGCCCCGACACCUACGGGAGGCCGCAGUGGGGAAUAUUGGGCGAUGGAGGCGAGCCGAAUACAGGCAUACCGGGUGGGGGCAGAAGGCGUUCGGGUUGUAGAGCCCUUUUGUUGGGAGAGAAAAGCAGCAGGUUGAUACCCCGCUGUUCUGACGGUACCCAAAGAAUAAGCACCGGCUAACUUCGUG